CUCAAUGGGAUCAUAGUUGAUCUAAAAAUUCUCAACUCCACUUUCCUGUCUUAUCCCUCAACCCUUGAUUUCCUUGAUGCAUGAAAAUUUGUUUCUCUCAGCGUUGAAUGUUCUUAUCGGCCCAACCUCUAUAGCUGUCUGUGGUAAAAGGUUACAUAGAUUUAUUAUCCUCUGAGAGAAGAAAUACCUCCCCAGCUCUCUUUUAAAUCAUCAACUCCAUACUCUGAGGUUAUGCCAUCUGAUUUGAGAACCUCCCACAAGGGGAAACAACCUUUUUAGCAUCUUCCUUGUCAAAUCCCUUAAGGAUCUUAGACAUUUCAAGAAGAUCACUUCAUACUGGACUUGAAGCAUUAAUUCUAUUUCUUUCUCCAUGUAUGCUGCCUGACCCUGGAAGCCUUCCAGACAAACUUUGUGAAGACAGUGAGACAGAUACUUGUCAGGAACCUCAGUCUCAGAAACUGGAUGCAGUGAUGCAAGUUAUUCAAAGACGUCACACCAAUAGUUAAGUUCUUCAUUCACGUUUGAAAGCUGAACAGAGGUACAAUAGUCAGGUGACUUCCAGGAUUGUUACAGAAAUAUUGAUACUUUCCAUGAACAUAGCUUCCACGUUUCAAGUAUUUAUCUAAGUUUAAACCUAGCCAGACUCUGCAAAUUAUAAAUAUCAGAGUCAGGUAUUGGAUGAUGAACUUCCCAUUGAAACCAGACAGGCUUGGAAAUGCCUGGCCAGGUGCUAAUAGCCACCUUGUUUCAGAAUGAGCCAUUGUUCACACCUCCAGUGAACCUGCUUUGGAAGAAGAAUGGUAUGCAGACUUGGUGGCACUCUGCUCAGUGAGAAGCUAGAGGCACAGUGUGACAAGGGCAGCACUAGUCAGUUGAAGGUUCAAAGACAUAUUCUGAGACCUCCAAAUAUAGAAAGUAGUCACCUUCGUGCCCCCACCCCACUGGUAUUGGACACAGACCAUAGAAACUUCGAAAAUGAUAUAAAAUGGAAUUUUAACGGGGCAACCUAGAGACCCAGCAUGCUCUGCUUUUCCACCAUCUUCAGUAAUGUCUCCGGAGACCACCUUAAACUGGCAGCUGAGCUACACAGUAUCUCCAGCUCCUUUUACCUCGUGGCGAGCACCUUCAGAUUGAGCAGACCCAGGAAGAUCACCUCAGUGAGAUGACCCAAAGAACCAGCCCUAGAUGAGAGAUGGGAAACCUAAAUUGAUGACUGCAGAUCCUGAAAUAUCAGUCAACUCUCAAAGAGUGAGGAACAGCCUGUUCCAGCCUUAUUGAAUGGGUAUCAUCUUUCAGACAAACUGUUCAAAUGCAGUGGAAGGGAUCUGUGGAUAGGGUGUGGGGAAACCUCAGAAGGGCAUGUCAUAAGGAGAUAGCCAGUGUAGAUUUACAAUUGUUUAUUUAGAGACUUAAAACUGUUUACUGAAGAGUCCUAUGAAGAGACUGAUAGAGUUCGACAGAGUUUAAUUAAAGCACAAUAGUAUAUUCUGAUAAAUUUUAUUUUUCCUUGAUGUGUUAAUAAAAUUGCG